CUAUAAAGUUCAUCGGCCCAUUGACCUUUGGCUUGACCUAAUCUUGUCUUUAGACCUUGUAAUAUCAUCUUAUUGGUCACCUCGGCUUCUCCAUUGGAUUGCGGACACCCAACUGAUGUAAGUUUGUGAAUAAUCUGAUAUUUUGCAUAGAACUCUUCAAACUUGACGUUAUUAAAUUAUUAGACGUUAUCGGUAAUGAUUACUCGGGA
rnacentral:lncRNA from 1 species